UUUCUUCCAAAGCACCUUAGAUCUCUCUUCCCCCUAACCUAAGGCCUUUUUUUCUUCUAGAAGGAAAUCCCUUGCUCACCUUCCAUCUGAGGCACUUGCCUGUCAGCAUGCCCUAUUUUCCUCAAUGGGUUUUGCUCUUUGAAAAAAAGAAAGCCAUGAGAAUAUACAGUUUUAGCUGGCAAGCUGCUGCCCAGCCCAAGGCAACUUUUUCCAGAUUCCUUGCAUGUGGGUGUGACCAGUUCUCUAGUUAUUCCCAAUGGGAGGUGAGUAGAAGUGAUAGAUGUCAGUUUUGGACCAAGGCUUUUGAGAAGCAGGCAUGCUUCUUUUGUACUCUUUCCCCUUCUGUUGGCUUACAUGCAGAAAAUGAACAGGCCCUGGGAAUGUCGGAGGCCUGAGAUAGAAGGAGACUUCAUCCCUGAAACAUUGCUGGGAGGGGGCUGCCAACUUACCAGGAACGUUCACUUAAUGCAAUUUUAUGAGCAAGAGAUAAACUUCUGGGUAUUUUAGUCAUUAUACACAUUUGGGUCUCUUCGUUACAAUAGC
rnacentral:lncRNA from 1 species